GAUUAAGUUAUUAAGGGCGCACGGUGGAUGCCUUGGCACUAGAAGCCGAUGAAGGACGUUACUAACGACGAUAUGCUUUGGGGAGCUGUAAGUAAGCUUUGAUCCAGAGAUUUCCGAAUGGGGAAACCCAGCAUGAGUUAUGUCAUGUUAUCGAUAUGUGAAUACAUAGCAUAUCAGAAGGCACACCCGGAGAACUGAAACAUCUUAGUACCCGGAGGAAGAGAAAGAAAAUUCGAUUCCCUUAGUAGCGGCGAGCGAAACGGGAAGAGCCCAAACCAACAAGCUUGCUUGUUGGGGUUGUAGGACACUCUAUACGGAGUUACAAAGGACGACAUUAGACGAAUCAUCUGGAAAGAUGAAUCAAAGAAGGUAAUAAUCCUGUAGUCGAAAAUGUUGUCUCUCUUGAGUGGAUCCUGAGUACGACGGAGCACGUGAAAUUCCGUCGGAAUCUGGGAGGACCAUCUCCUAAGGCUAAAUACUCUCUAGUGACCGAUAGUGAACCAGUACCGUGAGGGAAAGGUGAAAAGCACCCCGGAAGGGGAGUGAAAUAGAACCUGAAACCGUGUGCUUACAAGUAGUCAGAGCCCGUUAAUGGGUGAUGGCGUGCCUUUUGUAGAAUGAACCGGCGAGUUACGAUUUGAUGCAAGGUUAAGCAGUAAAUGUGGAGCCGUAGCGAAAGCGAGUCUGAAUAGGGCGUUUAGUAUUUGGUCGUAGACCCGAAACCAGGUGAUCUACCCUUGGUCAGGUUGAAGUUCAGGUAACACUGAAUGGAGGACCGAACCGACUUACGUUGAAAAGUGAGCGGAUGAACUGAGGGUAGCGGAGAAAUUCCAAUCGAACCUGGAGAUAGCUGGUUCUCUCCGAAAUAGCUUUAGGGCUAGCCUCAAGUGAUGAUUAUUGGAGGUAGAGCACUGUUUGGACGAGGGGCCCCUCUCGGGUUACCGAAUUCAGACAAACUCCGAAUGCCAAUUAAUUUAACUUGGGAGUCAGAACAUGGGUGAUAAGGUCCGUGUUCGAAAGGGAAACAGCCCAGACCACCAGCUAAGGUCCCAAAAUAUAUGUUAAGUGGAAAAGGAUGUGGCGUUGCCCAGACAACUAGGAUGUUGGCUUAGAAGCAGCCAUCAUUUAAAGAGUGCGUAAUAGCUCACUAGUCGAGUGACACUGCGCCGAAAAUGUACCGGGGCUAAACAUAUUACCGAAGCUGUGGAUUGUCCUUUGGACAAUGGUAGGAGAGCGUUCUAAGGGCGUUGAAACAUGAUCGUAAGGACAUGUGGAGCGCUUAGAAGUGAGAAUGCCGGUGUGAGUAGCGAAAGACGGGUGAGAAUCCCGUCCACCGAUUGACUAAGGUUUCCAGAGGAAGGCUCGUCCGCUCUGGGUUAGUCGGGUCCUAAGCUGAGGCCGACAGGCGUAGGCGAUGGAUAACAGGUUGAUAUUCCUGUACCACCUAUAAUCGUUUUAAUCGAUGGGGGGACGCAGUAGGAUAGGCGAAGCGUGCGAUUGGAUUGCACGUCUAAGCAGUAAGGCUGAGUAUUAGGCAAAUCCGGUACUCAUUAAGGCUGAGCUGUGAUGGGGAGAAGACAUUGUGUCUUCGAGUCGUUGAUUUCACACUGCCGAGAAAAGCCUCUAGAUAGAAAAUAGGUGCCCGUACCGCAAACCGACACAGGUAGUCAAGAUGAGAAUUCUAAGGUGAGCGAGCGAACUCUCGUUAAGGAACUCGGCAAAAUGACCCCGUAACUUCGGGAGAAGGGGUGCUCUUUAGGGUUAACGCCCAGAAGAGCCGCAGUGAAUAGGCCCAAGCGACUGUUUAUCAAAAACACAGGUCUCUGCUAAACCGUAAGGUGAUGUAUAGGGGCUGACGCCUGCCCGGUGCUGGAAGGUUAAGAGGAGUGGUUAGCUUCUGCGAAGCUACGAAUCGAAGCCCCAGUAAACGGCGGCCGUAACUAUAACGGUCCUAAGGUAGCGAAAUUCCUUGUCGGGUAAGUUCCGACCCGCACGAAAGGCGUAACGAUUUGGGCACUGUCUCAACGAGAGACUCGGUGAAAUCAUAGUACCUGUGAAGAUGCAGGUUACCCGCGACAGGACGGAAAGACCCCGUGGAGCUUUACUGUAGCCUGAUAUUGAAAUUCGGCACAGCUUGUACAGGAUAGGUAGGAGCCUUUGAAACGUGAGCGCUAGCUUACGUGGAGGCGCUGGUGGGAUACUACCCUAGCUGUGUUGGCUUUCUAACCCGCACCACUUAUCGUGGUGGGAGACAGUGUCAGGCGGGCAGUUUGACUGGGGCGGUCGCCUCCUAAAAGGUAACGGAGGCGCUCAAAGGUUCCCUCAGAAUGGUUGGAAAUCAUUCAUAGAGUGUAAAGGCAUAAGGGAGCUUGACUGCGAGACCUACAAGUCGAGCAGGGUCGAAAGACGGACUUAGUGAUCCGGUGGUUCCGCAUGGAAGGGCCAUCGCUCAACGGAUAAAAGCUACCCCGGGGAUAACAGGCUUAUCUCCCCCAAGAGUUCACAUCGACGGGGAGGUUUGGCACCUCGAUGUCGGCUCAUCGCAUCCUGGGGCUGUAGUCGGUCCCAAGGGUUGGGCUGUUCGCCCAUUAAAGCGGUACGCGAGCUGGGUUCAGAACGUCGUGAGACAGUUCGGUCCCUAUCCGUCGUGGGCGUAGGAAAUUUGAGAGGAGCUGUCCUUAGUACGAGAGGACCGGGAUGGACAUACCUCUGGUGUACCAGUUGUCGUGCCAACGGCAUAGCUGGGUAGCUAUGUGUGGACGGGAUAAGUGCUGAAAGCAUCUAAGCAUGAAGCCCCCCUCAAGAUGAGAUUUCCCAACUUCGGUUAUAAGAUCCCUCAAAGAUGAUGAGGUUAAUAGGUUCGAGGUGGAAGCAUGGUGACAUGUGGAGCUGACGAAUACUAAUCGAUCGAAGACUUAAUCAA
rnacentral:rRNA from 1 species